AUUGAACGCUGGCGGAAUGCUUUACACAUGCAAGUCGAACGGUAGAGGGGGCAACCCCCUUGAGAGUGGCGAACGGGUGAGUAAUAUAUCGGAACGUGCCCAGUCGUGGGGGAUAACGUAGCGAAAGUUACGCUAAUACCGCAUACGAUCUAAGGAUGAAAGCGGGGGAUCGCAAGACCUCGCGCGAUUGGAGCGGCCGAUAUCAGAUUAGGUAGUUGGUGAGGUAAAGGCUCACCAAGCCAACGAUCUGUAGCUGGUCUGAGAGGACGACCAGCCACACUGGAACUGAGACACGGUCCAGACUCCUACGGGAGGCAGGCAGUGGGGGAAUUUUGGGACAAUGGGCGCAAGCCUGAUCCAGCCAUGCCGCGUGCAGGAUGACGGUCCUAAUGGAUUGUAAACUGCUUUUAUACAGGAAGAACACUCCGACGUGUCGGAGCUUGACGGUACUGUAAGAAUAAGGAUCGGCUAACUCCGUGCCAGCAGCCGCGGU
rnacentral:rRNA from 1 species